AUCCAUUUGUUAUUUCAACCAGUUUUAACCUGUAUUCACUUAUAUUUGAAGACCCGAGUCUUGAUGCAAACAGUGGUUAGGAACACAGAAAUCCACUCGAACUGUGUGUGUGCGUGUUCGACGGAGCUUUUUUAUGGGUCGGCAGACGCGGGUUUUUGCCAUUUUUUUCAAGUUUUUGGUUCUCUACUUUCCCAUACCGUUGGUGGUUGACCUACUCAUUUUAUUUUCCACUUUUGUUAAGAUCCCAAUGUAAUUUCGUUUGACUUCGGAAGUCUACAAGCACCUCCAUUCAACAUUUCCAAAAUAUAGCACAUCAACUUUGAACAUUCUUAUAAUUUAC
rnacentral:lncRNA from 1 species